rnacentral:rRNA from 1 species
UACAGAGGGUGCGAGCGUUAAUCGGAAUUACUGGGCGUAAAGCGCGCGUAGGCGGCUUUGCAAGUCGGGUGUGAAAUCCCCAGGCUUAACCUGGGAACUGCAUUCGAGACUGCAUUGCUAGAGUAUGGGAGAGGGAAGUGGAAUUUCCGGUGUAGCGGUGAAAUGCGUAGAUAUCGGAAGGAACAUCAGUGGCGAAAGCGGUUACCUGGAGCUUUGCUGACGCUGAUGCGCGAAAGCGUGGGGAGCGAUCCGG